AUGUUGAUCUGCGGUUUUCACCGCUCUCCUUCAGAUAUGUUCUGUUUUUCUGAUAUUUUCAAUGCAAAUUCCACCGAUUUCACGUAUCAAUUGGAGGUGAAAAGUAGCAUCAUUCUCACCAGGCGAGUAUUCUGGAACAACAACAACAACAUAGAAAACAGAUUUCUCCAUGGAACUUCAGGAUUUCCUUAUUCAUGCUCGAGUCUUCAAGCUUUACAGACAAGCAACUAA
rnacentral:lncRNA from 1 species